UGUAAGCGUAUACCAAAGUUGUUGCAGUUAAAACGCUCGUAGUCGGAAUUUGGCAGUUCCGGAUGUGUGCACGUCGUGUGCGCACUUCGCGGGGAUUGCUUUUGUGGUCUUGCGUAGGAUGAGGCACUUUUAUUAGUGAACGUCCUCACGCAACCACUUUUUACUGUGAGAAAAUCAGAGUGCUCAAAGCAGGCAUUUGCCGUGAAUGUAUUAGCAUGGAAUAAUAGAAUAGGACUUGGUUCUAUUUUGUUGGUUUGUUGGGACUGAGUAAUGAUUAAGAGGGACAGUUGGGGGCAUUUGUAUUUCGGUGCUAGAGGUGAAAUUCUUAGAUUACCGAAAGACAAACUGCUGCGAAAGCGUCUGCCAAGGAUGUUUUCAUUGAA
rnacentral:rRNA from 1 species